GCCGUGGGGGGCGAGCGUUGUCCGGAAUUACUGGGCGUAAAGCGCGCGUAGGCGGCUGGUUAAGUCAGAUGUGAAAUCUCCAGGGCUCAACCCGGAAACUGCAUUUGAUACUGGCCGGCUAGAGAGAUGAAGGGGCAGAUGGAAUUCCUGGUGUAGCGGUGAAAUGCAUUGAUAUCAGGAGGAACACCCGUGGCGAAGGCGGUCUGCUGGGCAUCUUCUGACGCUGAGGCGCGAAAGCAGGGGGAGAAAACGGG
rnacentral:rRNA from 1 species